CCGGGAACUCAAAGGAGACUGCCAGUGAUAAACUGGAGGAAGGUGGGGAUGACGUCAAGUCAUCAUGGCCCUUACGACCAGGGCUACACACGUGCUACAAUGGCGCAUACAAAGAGAAGCGACCUCGCGAGAGCAAGCGGACCUCAUAAAGUGCGUCGUAGUCCGGAUUGGAGUCUGCAACUCGACUCCAUGAAGUCGGAAUCGCUAGUAAUCGUGGAUCAGAAUGCCACGGUGAAUACGUUCCCGGGCCUUGUACACACCGCCCGUCACACCAUGGGAGUGGGUUGCAAAAGAAGUAGGUAGCUUAACCUUCGGGAGGGCGCUUACCACUUUGUGAUUCAUGACUGGGGUGAAGUCGUAACAAGGUAACCGUAGGGGAACCUGCGGUUGGA
rnacentral:rRNA from 1 species